AUGUAUGUUUUGCCUAUAUUUGAAAUAGUUGAGAGCCACUUUUGUUGUUUCUAUAUGGGUGCACACCAAAUUAAACCUUCCGAGAAGAUUAAUGUGCUCAUGAUUUACCUUCUGAAAAUGGGAACUUGUGAUCCUUCUGCGUGCGAUGAGCUGGAUAUGAAAAAGAAUGAUGUAGAUCUACAGCUCUAUAAUCUGAAUCGAAUUAGGAUAGACGAAAAUAAGAUUGCAAAGGAACGAAGAGCUCAAGAUUUCGUUUUGUUCAUGAAGAUGCAUAAUCAAGAGGAACCACGAGGAUUCCUAAGAACACUUGAGGCAAUACAAAUCGUAUGGUUACAAGUUCAACAACAACAUGGGGAGCGCUGGCGUGGUAGUCCGGCGGUAGAGGGAUGGCUGGGCAGCAGCCUACCGAGGAGUUGGAGGGAGGGCUUGAUUGGGCCACAUCUGUCCACGAGGGCUCGUUGGUGGACUAAUCAAGAAGGGGGGAGGGGCUGGGUGUAUCUGCGAUGCGCGGUUCCGGCUGGUGUGCUCCUCGGCGGCGUCCUGGACAGGUGGACGUGUGGGCGGCUGCGUGUGUGCGUGUGCUUCGGCGGUGCGUGA
rnacentral:rRNA from 1 species